rnacentral:rRNA from 1 species
AUCAUUAAGCGGAGGAAAAGAAAUCAAAAGAGAUUCCCUGAGUAACGGCGAGCGAAAGGGGAAGAGUCCAGCGUGAAGCUGCACUGCUUGAAAAGGCUGUGCGGGAUGCCACGUUAAUGUCGUGUCGUAGUGGGUGGUCUCGUGCGUAGUGUAAGUCUCCUUGAGUGGAGUCUGCCAUAGAGGGUGCGAGCCCCCUAGCGCUACGUGAGGUUGCCUACGUGAUGCGAUAUGUAUGAGUCAACUUGCUUGAGAGUGCAAGUUAAAGUUGGAGGUAAAUUUCUCCAAAGACUAAAUACGACUGCGAGACCGAUAGCAAACAAGUACCGUGAGGGAAAGUUGCAAAGAACUUUGAAGAGAGAGUUCAAUAGGACGUGAAACCGUUUGCAGGUAAGCGGGUGGAGCCACGAAGUUGUUACUGUAGUUGGUGUUCAGUUUGAGUAUGGGUUGGAGUGGUGGUGUGUGCUGAUUUGGAAACAAGUUGCCCGCUGCUGCUUUCAGCUUAUAUUCGAACGCACUCACUGUGCUACUGACAAACUCGUAACUAGUGAGAUGGGCGUUGCGGCCGUAUGCGAGUGCUGGUGGGGAGGUGUCAUUUGUCUCACUUGUGGGGCGAAUGAUUUAUAACUCACCGGCACGUACGAGCAGCGUCGUACUGACUAGUGUUACAAUUCUCUUGAUAGAGUUGGUGAUUGUUGUUACAUGUGUUGGGGCGUGUGCUGGUGCGACGGGGUUGGAUGGGUUGCUUGUUGACUCAACUUCUCUGUCGUCAUUGGUGCAAUGCUGCCUUGGCCAUGUCAAUGGCAAGUUCACAUUGACGAGUAGUAGGUCGGUUAUCCACCCGACCCGUCUUGAAACACGGACCAAGGAGUUUAUCAAGUGUGCGAGUCUCACUGUCUUGCAUAGGCAGGUAGGCGYAGUGAAAGCAAAAUUGAUGUACGAUCCUUUAAGUWACUCUCRCGAGUUGURGAGGCGCAGUACACGGGCGCGGGCUAGUCCUUUGCCUCGUGAAAGCGAGCUGAGAGACGCCCACGCACCGAAAGCAUACUCGAUGAGACCCGAAAGAUGGUGAACUAUGCCUGGCCAAGAUGAAGCCAGAGGAAACUCUGGUGGAGGUCUGUAGCGAUUCUGACGUGCAAAUCGAUCGUCAGAGCUGGGUAUAGGGGCGAAAGACUAAUCGAACCAUCUAGUAGCUGGUUCCCUCCGAAGUUUCCCUCAGGAUAGCAGUAAAUUAUACGAAGUAGUUUUAUCCGGUAAAGCGAAUGAUUAGAGGCAUUGGGGACGAAAUGUCCUCAACCUAUUCUCAAACUUUAAAUGGGUAAGAAGUGUGACAUUCUUAGCUGAUGCCACUACACACGAAUAGGAUUUACUAGUGGGUCAUUUUUGGUAAGCAGAACUGACGCUGUGGGAUGAACCAAACGUGCGAGUUAAAGUGCCCGACAUUUGCGCUCAUGAGGCACCAUGAAAGGUGUUGGUUGCUAUAGACAGCAGGACGGUGGCCAUGGAAGUCGGAAUCCGCUAAGGAGUGUGUAACAACUCACCUGCCGAAGCAACUAGCCCUGAAAAUGGAUGGCACUGUUGCGCGAGACUUAUACUCGACUGUUGAAUUAUUUCGUGAUGAAUAUUCAACAAGUAGGAGGGUGCAGCGGUAGCGUCGAAGGUUGCCUCGUGAGAGGGACUGGAGCUGCCGUUGGUACAGAUCUUGGUGGUAGUAGCAAAUACUCAAGUGAGACCCUUGAGGACCAAUGUGGAGAAGGGUUCCAUGUGAACAGCAGUUGAACAUGGGUCAGUCGGCCCUAAGGGAUCGAUGAAAAUCGUUCCAUAGUGUCUGUUACAGCAGGGGUGGCAACAUUCCUGCUUGCAGACAAUUUCCCGAAAGGGAAUUGCGUUAAUAUUCGCAAACUUAGACUCGGAGAGAUGUUAUUGCUGCUCGCAAGGGCAACGUAACUAAUAGCGGCAACGCAUACGAACUCAGAGACGUUGGCUGCUGGCUGGGGAAGAGUUGUCUUUUCUUUGUAAAAACUUGUUGCCAUCUACACCCUGGAAUUGCAUCGAGCAGAGAUAGGGUGGACGAGUUUGUAAAGCUCUGCAGCUCUUGCAGAGUCCCAUGCCCAGCGGUUGACCCUUGAAAAUCUGGGGGAGUUUUCUUGUUAAUAGCAAGAAGAAAUCUCGAGCUAAGCCGUACCGAUAUCCGCAGCAGGUCUCCAAGGUGCACAGCCUCUGGUUGCAUAGAAUAAUGUAGGUAAGGGAAGUCGGCAAAACUGAUCCGUAACUUCGGGAGAAGGAUUGGCUCUGAGGCGUGAGUCCGUCGGGCUUUGCUGUGGUUGRUUGUUAAUAUUGUUUUCUGGUGGACUGUAGUACUYGUUGGCAACAAUGAGAACCGCGGGCUGCCGUGAGAGCAGUGACUUCCGACUUGGCUUGGCUACUUGUGUGUGUUGUGCUGUUGAGUAGCAUUUCACGAUGUUACUUAGCUGCCACAURCUCRCAAGUUUCGGCGGACAGA